rnacentral:rRNA from 1 species
GAUGAACGCUGGCGGCGUGCCUAAUACAUGCAAGUCGAGCGAACAGACGAGGAGCUUGCUCCUCUGACGUUAGCGGCGGACGGGUGAGUAACACGUGGAUAACCUACCUAUAAGACUGGGAUAACUUCGGGAAGCCGGAGCUAAUACCGGAUAAUAUAUUGAACCGCAUGGUUCAAUAGUGAAAGACGGUUUUGCUGUCACUUAUAGAUGGAUCCGCGCCGCAUUAGCUAGUUGGUAAGGUGACGGCUUACCAAGGCAACGAUGCGUAGCCGACCUGAGAGGGUGAUCGGCCACACUGGAACUGAGACACGGUCCAGACUCCUACGGGAGGCAGCAGUAGGGAAUCUUCCGCAAUGGGCGAAAGCCUGACGGAGCAACGCCGCGUGAGUGAUGAAGGUCUUCGGAUCGUAAAACUCUGUUAUUAGGGAAGAACAAAUGUGUAAGUAACUAUGCACGUCUUGACGGUACCUAAUCAGAAAGCCACGGCUAACUACGUG